CAGCAGCCGCGGGAAUACGAAGGGGGCUAGCGUUGUUCGGAAUUACUGGGCGUAAAGCGCACGUAGGCGGAUAUUUAAGUCAGGGGUGAAAUCCCAGAGCUCAACUCUGGAACUGCCUUUGAUACUGGGUAUCUUGAGUAUGGAAGAGGUUAUUGGAAUUGCGAGUGUAGAGGUGAAAUUCGUAGAUAUUCGCAGGAACACCAGUGGCGAAGGCGGCUAACUGGUCCAUAACUGACGCUGAGGUGCGAAAGCGUGGGGAGCAAACAGGAUUAGAUACCCCGGUAGUCCCUGUCUCUUAUAU
rnacentral:rRNA from 1 species